AAAAAGGGAAAAAAAAUUCCACUAAGCAGCCCUUCGAGCCACUGCACAGGGCAGCCUCCGUCUCUUUGCAAAGACAUUUAUUCACUGUUGCAAAGCCAGUUCCCCUAGCGAUUUCCCAUCACCAGUUUGACUCUGUCUGGAAGGUAGAGAGCUGUUGUGAGGAGUGUUUUCUCAUCAUGGAAAAGUAAACAAAACUUUUCUCCUUGGUGGGCUGGAGCCCCAGGGAAUUGUGAGUCAUGUGUUGGUAAACACUCUCACUUUACUUUUGCAAUCAUUACUCCCCACCUCCUCCAAAGUAGGCUGCUGUUAUCCUGUGAUUGUAGUGGAAAAAUCCAGAUACAAAGAUAACCCACCCUGGUACCUGGAGCAGGGCUUUGAAAACCUGCUUGGGGAUGAAUCAGCUGAUGAUGAAAACAUGGCCCUCUUUGCUCGGGAGUUCCCCAUGUGGCCAUAAGAGCAUGUUCAACCAAAGCAGAAUCUAGGGCUUAAGUCAGGCAUGACUCUCUGGCUACAAUAAACAGUACUGAUUUCUUCUACAAAGAUGAUCUUCAGCGUGACUGGCUCACAACUCCUUCCACUAACCUGAUGGCUGCAUUUCCUUGGUGGCUUCAGAUUCCCAACAAAAUCCUCAUAAAACUCCAAAAUUGCACCUAGAAGAAGCCAUGCCAUCCUCCUCUGUGAAUGGAUCAUGUUUAUAUAAGACAGAUCUGAACAACAGAUGUUUGAAGCUUCACGUGGAUUCUAAGCUCAUGCUUGUGAGAAUUGCAUCCAAACAAUUUGAGGGGUUGAGGUAACUUUUCCUAACCAAUGAAAAGUCCCUGCCUGGCUCCUGAGUAGGAAGAGAGAAGACAGCAGAAUCUAGGGCUAAUCUUGCAACUGCCUUGUUCUUUGCAGUUACAGAAGCAUCAUGCUUCGAAUUGCUACCACCCUCAAGCAACUACCUACAUUUUACCAACGACAGUCUUGGCAGAAUGGAAGACAUAUUUGGAUCUGGUUCUUAAAACUAGAGUUGUAAGUUCCAGGACAAUGACUAUUAUUAUAGCUGGGAAUUGUCAGUUGAAUCAUGCAAACUUGUUUAGAUGUAGAUGGGACUUUUUGUUAAUUAAUAUGUGACACCUUACAAAUUGUUUAUUGGCAUCAAUAACUUACAUCUGUGAAAGUUGUUGUAUUGUUUAUAAGAACAUUCCUAACUCCUUGGAGCUCUGAGGACUGGUGUAUAAGGCAAGCAGCUGGUUCCAUGCUAUACAAUACUGCAUUAUGAGCAAAACCUUCUCUGUUUACGAGGUUAAAUAUCAACAAACAGGCUGGGCAUGGCUGGGGAGGAUCGAGAGUUCAAAGCCAGCCUAAGCAAUAGCAAUGCACUAAGCAACUCAGUGAGACCCUGUCUCUAAAUAAAAUACAAAAUAGGGCUGUGAUGUAGCUCAAUGGUUGAGUGCCCCUGAGUUAAUUCCCCAGUUCCCCUCCCUGCCCCCACCAAAUCAACAAACAGGUAUUGUGAUAAGUAGAAAUGACCAGUGGGGCUUCCAGGAAUAGUGUCUUGUGUUGCACCUGCUAAUCUCUAAGAGGAAUCAGCUACUAGAAGCAUCCUUUGGUUUGUGACUGUUCUAGGCUGGAACAUAUGGACAAUAGUAAGA
rnacentral:lncRNA from 1 species